UUCCAAAGUGUUGAGUUCAUUUCCAGGCAGCUUCUUUGUCGUGUUAAAUCAACUUUGGGACCUUGAAACACAGGCUGGGGGAGAUGACUGGAUAGAAGGCAUUGCUCUGUUCACUUACCUCCAGCCACCCUAC